UGAACCAGGACAACUCCAGAAGAAAUGUGAAGACCUCCACUUACUGAAAAUUCACUGUGACACUGGAAUUGUACAAUCUGCCAGUAAAGGACUAAAAAAGAAGUCUGCCUAUUGUCAAAACAAGAGGUGCCAAAUGAAGAAACAACUUGAAAGCAAAUGAAAUACUCAUAUCUUUUGCUCCUAUUAAUUGCUGCAGGAAGAGCAUCAGAAUAAUGCCAGGUUUAACUGCCGUGUCACCACCUCAGAGCAUCGGGUCCUCAAACAUUAAUCCCUGCUGCCAAACAGCGCAAGGGCAGAAGGUCCAGAGGGAUGGCCAUGAUGUGGAUCUGAGACUCUUCUUUUUCCUAUGUGGAAAUUGAUAGAAUUUGGAGUCUAUCCUGGCGAAUAGUAACAGCUACUUCAGACAUGGGGCAUGGCAGAUGGAAAGGAAGUUAUCCACACCUCAAACAAGAUUGCCUUGGACAUCACUUCAUCACAAGGUUUCAAAAGAAAUCAUUUCAUGUGGCUUCAAAUAGCAUCAUACUGCAAUAUACUUGCUUUAAUAGUCUUCAGGAAAUCAUUAGUUUACUCAUUUUCUGAAAAGACAUGUUUUAAAUAAGACAAUAACAAAAAUAAUCUCUGUUAAAACUGUAUCUCUAGAAAAGAUGCAUAGGAAGAAGUAUAGAACCGGACUGGGAAAUAGAAUCACAGAAUCAUAAAAUAGUUUGGGUUGGAAGGGACCUUAAAGGUCAUCUGGUUCCGAUCCCCUGCCAUGGGCAGGGACCCGUCCCACUAGAUUAGGCUACCCAAGGCCCCAUCCAACCUGGCCUUGAACAUCUCCAGGGAUGGGGCAUCCACAGCUUCCCUGGAUAACCUGUGCCAGUGCCUCACCACCCUCAUUGUGAAGAAAUUCCUCUUUACGUCUAGCCUAAAUCUUCCCCUCUCCAGUUUAUAGCCAUUGCCCCUAGUCCUACAAGCCUUUGUAAAAGGUCCCUCCCCAGGUUUCCUGUAGCCCCUUCAGGUAUUGGAAGGUCACUAUAAUAUAUUCCAUAAAUUGUCUUGAACAUAGCUCUGUCGUUAUUGCAUUAAAAACUUGCAAGGUGUUCCUGGGAAAUACCUUCACUGACGUUGCUUUAACCUACAUUGAAUGACCUCAUGAUGGACUCCAACACUUGAGCAGCAAAUACUAGGGGAGGCUGAACGGUAUGUGGGAAGAGAAAAUCAGAGUAUUGAUGCACAAAUGCUGACUACCAUCUGGCGCAGAUGUCAUUUACUGCUGUUCAUGAAUCAGGAACCAGUUAAAUUUAACAUAUUUAGCAGUCUGUCAAUCCUUGUGCAAUGCUAGAUAAUACAAUAAUUAUUC